rnacentral:hammerhead_ribozyme from 1 species
GAACUACUGAAGAAUCUCACAAUAGGACGAAACGAGCGUCCAGUGC